UACGGGGGGGGCAAGCGUUGUUCGGAAUUACUGGGCGUAAAGGGCGCGUAGGCGGCCUACUAAGUCGGACGUGAAAUCCCUCGGCUCAACCGGGGAACUGCGUCCGAUACUGGUGGGCUUGAAUCCGGGAGAGGGAUGUGGAAUUCCCAGUGUAGAGGUGAAAUUCGUAGAUAUUGGGAAGAACACCGGUGGCGAAGGCGGCGAGCUGGUCCAUUACUGACGCUGAGGCGCGACAGCGUGGGGAGCAAACAGG
rnacentral:rRNA from 1 species